GCUGGGUAUUGUGGUGCAUGCCUGUAGUCCCGGCUACUUGGGAGGCUGAAGUGGGAGGAUCACUUGAGCCCAGGAGUUCAGGGCUGUAGUGCGCUAUGCCAAUUGGGUGUCUGUACUAAGUUUGGCAUCAAUAUGGUGAUCUCCCGGGAGCGGGGGACCACCAGGUUGCCUAAGGAGGGGUGAGCCGGCCCAGGUCGGAAACACAGCAGGUCAAAACUCCAUGCUGAUCUGUAGUGGGAUCAUGCCUGUGAAUAGCCACUGCACUACAGCCUAGGCAACAUAGUGAGACCCAGUAUCA
rnacentral:SRP_RNA from 1 species